CCGCUGGAUUCCGACAUCUGUUUCUCC
rnacentral:piRNA from 1 species